rnacentral:lncRNA from 1 species
GGGCUUAGUCCGUAUAACAAGUGUAGAAGCGAGGAAAGGUCUAUAAUAAUACAGAUGACUACAACAGUAAAAUAGUGUAGAACCACAAGAGUUUAAGUAUGCAAUCUUACCUUGCAUUUCUACAAUAGAAUGUUUUCACCGCUCGAACCUAUGACCUCCAGGUCAUAUGGGAGCAACUUUACCAGUUAUUUUAAGGCUCGACUUGUAAAAUGAUUAUACUAAAAGUUGUCCAGGAUUGGAUUGAACUUGAAGAAUCUGAUUUGGAGGGCCAGUAUGACGAAGUAUGUGCUUAGUAAAAUUUAUUCAAUUGUCGAUUUAUAUUAGAUUUUUAUGUGGAAAUCAUAUACUUACCAUCUAAUAAUUAUGGAGUAUCAGGGUGAUUUAACUGCAGUUGCAACUGCGUCGUUCUCAGCUAAAACAGCAGCAACCCUCUUCACUGAUACAGAAGCAGCAGCAGCCCCUCCAACAACAGUCCACGAGCAACGGCCAAAGCCACUUAAGCAACAAAUGUUGCUCUUCAGCAACAGCCGAAGGUUCCCCGAAUAUAUGAACAAGAG